GGAGAGGUGGCCGAGUGGUCUAUGGCGCUGCCCUGCUAAGGCAGACCGGCAGAGUCCGGCGCGAGUUCGAAUCUCGCUCUCUCCGCCA
rnacentral:tRNA from 1 species